rnacentral:tRNA from 2 species
CCCUGGUUAGCUCAGUUGGUAGAGCGCUCCACUGGUAAUGGAGAGGUCCCGGGUUCGAUACCCGGACCAGGCG